rfam:Oryza sativa (indica cultivar-group) chromosome 10, whole genome shotgun sequence.
UUUAAGUGUAGUUGCGGGUUUUCGUGUUCAAUGUUGAUCAUCCGUCUUAUUUAAAAAAUUUUGUAUGAUUAUUAUUUUUAUUGUUAUUAGAUGGUAGAACAUGAAUAGUACUUUAUGUGUGACUUAUUUUUUAAAGUAUUUUCACAAUCUUUUCAAAUAAGAUGAAUGGUUAACGUUGUACACGGAAACUUACAACUGCACUUAAA